AAACAGGUAACUCAGUUGGUAGAGUGUUGGAUUGUCACUCCAAAAGUCGGGAGUUCGAAUCUCCUCCUGUUGG
rnacentral:tRNA from 1 species